UGGGGAAUUUUGGACAAUGGGCGAAAGCCUGAUCCAGCAAUGCCGCGUGUGUGAAGAAGGCCAUCGGGUUGUAAAGCACUUUUGUCCGGAAAGAAAUCCUUGGCUCUAAUACAGUCGGGGGAUGACGGUACCGGAAGAAUAAGCACCGGCUAACUACGUGCCAGCAGCCGCGGUAAUACGUAGGGUGCAAGCGUUAAUCGGAAUUACUGGGCGUAAAGCGUGCGCAGGCGGUUUGCUAAGACCGAUGUGAAAUCCCCGGGCUCAACCUGGGAACUGCAUUGGUGACUGGCAGGCUAGAGUAUGGCAGAGGGGGGUAGAAUUCCACGUGUAGCAGUGAAAUGCGUAGAGAUGUGGAGGAAUACCGAUGGCGAAGGCAGCCCCCUGGGCCAAUACUGACGCUCAUGCACGAAAGCGUGGGGGAGCAAACAGGAUUAGAUACCCUGGUAGUCCACGCCCUAAACGAUGUCAACUAGUUGUUGGGGAUUCAUUCCUUAGUAACGUAGCUAACGCGUGAAGUUGACCGCCUGGGGAGUACGGUCGCAAGAUUAAAACUCAAAGGAAUUGACGGGGUCAUA
rnacentral:rRNA from 1 species